CUACGGGGGGCUGCAGUGGGGAAUAUUGCACAAUGGGGGGAACCCUGAUGCAGCAACGCCGCGUGGAGGAUGACGCAUUUCGGUGUGUAAACCCCUUUUAUAUGUCAAGAAAAUGACGGUAGCAUAUGAAUAAGCACCGGCUAACUCCGUGCCAGCAGCCGCGGUAAUACGGAGGGUGCAAGCGUUACUCGGAAUCACUGGGCGUAAAGGACGCGUAGGCGGGUUGGAAAGUCAGGUGUGAAAUCCUACAGCUUAACUGUAGAACUGCAAUUGAAACUUCUAAUCGAGAGGAUGGGAGGGGGAGAUGGAAUUAGUGGUGUAGGGGUAAAAUCCGUAGAUAUCACUAGGAAUACCUAAAGCGAAGGCGAUCUCCUGGAACAUUACUGACGCUAAGGCGUGAAAGCGUGGGGAGCAAACAGGAUUAGAUACCCCGGUAGUC
rnacentral:rRNA from 1 species